ACUUUGCAGGCAAGCUGGGUCAUCACAGUUUCCUCAGACUCCCUUCCUGCCAUGUGGGCCUUGCUGACCCACUCUCCUACCUUGGUAGUGUCUGGGCCUUCUAGCUAUGUCUCCUCAGUUGAGGUGAAGACGUGGAGGCUGAGCUCUGGCUAUCAGAAGACUCGAGUUUUCCUAGGAGGCUUUCUAGGCCUCUGUCAGCAGCUGCAAUUUGCGUGCACACACUGAGCUGUCGGGCUUCCGGGCUGUCAGGAAGAAGUGAAUUCGGUUAUUUCCAUUUGGUCUUUCUCCCCAGGCUGACAUGAGCAGAAUUCACAGGCUAAGGAGACCUGGGUUCAGUUCUCAGCACCCACGUGGCAGCUCACAGUGGUUAUUUCCAGUUCCAGAGAUUCAGACACCCUCUUCUGGCCGCUGCAGGAACUAUGCAUGGUGCACAGAUUACGUGCAAACAGAGCAACC